AGCCACACAGAUAUGUGCACAGACUGCUACGGAUCUCAGAAGAAUUCUUUUUGGCACAGUGGUCCCCACCGGAGUCCAGGAGAGCUGGGUCCAAGAGCAGUAAUUCUCUUAGAGCAGUGGUUCCCAAAGUAUGAUUGAAGACCCAUGAGGAUCCUUGAGACCUGAUUCUACUGAAGGAAUUCCAUGGGGACUGGAACAACCUCCAGGAAGUGAUGCAGAGCGAGAGGAGCAGAACCAGGAGAACAUUGUACACAGAGACGGACACAUUGUGGUACAAUCGUAUGUAAUGAACUUCUCCAUUAGUGGCAAUGCAGUGAUCCUGAACAACCUGGAGGGAUCUAUGAGAAAAACCUCUAUCCACAUUCAGAGGAAACACUGUGGGAGCAAAAACACCAAAGAAAAACAACUGCUUGAUUACUGGUCGAGGGGAUAUGGUUGAGGAUGUAGACCCUAAAGGAACAUCCUAGUGCAAACAUCAACAACAUGGAAAUAGGUUCUGAUCAAGGACAUGGGUAAAACUGAGUGGAAUUGUGCGUUGGCUACAGGAAGGGGUGGGGGAGAUGAGAGAAAAAAUAUGAUUCUUGUAACCAAGGAAUAAUGUUCUAAAUUGACUAAUUAAAUAAAUUUUUCAAAAAAAAAUAAAAAUAUAUAUAAUUCCAGGUUCUAUUAAAAUAA